rnacentral:rRNA from 1 species
UACGAAGGGGGCUAGCGUUGCUCGGAAUCACUGGGCGUAAAGCGCACGUAGGCGGCUUGUUAAGUCAGGGGUGAAAUCCUGGAGCUCAACUCCAGAACUGCCUUUGAUACUGGCGAUCUUGAGUUCGGGAGAGGUGAGUGGAACUGCGAGUGUAGAGGUGAAAUUCGUAGAUAUUCGCAAGAACACCAGUGGCGAAGGCGGCUCACUGGCCCGAUACUGACGCUGGAGGUGAACGAAGCGG